UACGUAGGUGGCAAGCGUUACUCGGAAUCACUAGGCGUAAAGCGCAGGUAGGUGGUUGGAUAAGUUUCUUUGUGAAAGCUCCUGGCUUAACUGGGAGAGGUCAAGGAAUACUGUUCGGCUAGAGUAUGGUAGGGGAAACUGGAAUUCCCGGUGUAGCGGUGAAAUGCGUAGAUAUCGGGGAGGAAUACCUAUGGCGAAAGCAAGUUUCUGGGCCAUUACUGACACUGAGCUGCGAAAGCUAGGGGGAGCAAACAGG
rnacentral:rRNA from 1 species